rnacentral:rRNA from 1 species
GACGAACGCUGGCGGCGCGCCUAACACAUGCAAGUCGAACGGAGCUGAGAGAAGCUUGCUUUUCUUAGCUUAGUGGCGAACGGGUGAGUAACGCGUGAGUAACCUGCCCUGGAGUGGGGGACAACAGUUGGAAACGACUGCUAAUACCGCAUAAGCCCACGAUCCGGCAUCGGAUUGAGGGAAAAGGAUUUAUUCGCUUCAGGAUGGACUCGCGUCCAAUUAGCUAGUUGGUGAGGUAACGGCCCACCAAGGCGACGAUUGGUAGCCGGACUGAGAGGUUGAACGGGCAAAUUGGGAAUGGGGAAAGGGCCCGAAUCCUAAGGGAGGGAGGAGGGGGGGAUAAUGCAAAAUGGGGGAAACCCUGAUGCAGCGACGCCGCGUGGAGGAAGAAGGUUUUCGGAUUGGAAACUCCUGUCGUUAGGGACGAUAAUGACGGUACCUAACAAGAAAGCACCGGCUAACUACGUG